rnacentral:tRNA from 9 species
GCCGGGAUAGCUCAGUUGGUAGAGCAGAGGACU